rnacentral:rRNA from 1 species
AAAUAGGCCACACCGCCCUGAGCGCGCCCCAUCUUGUCUGGUCUCGGAAACCAAGCAGGGUCGGGGCUGGUUAGUACUUGGGUGGGAGACCGCCUGGGAAUACCAGAUGCUGUAAGUU